CACCUGCCUUACAAGCAGGGGGUCACAGGUUCGAGCCCUGUUAGUCCCACCA
rnacentral:tRNA from 1 species